AUUUGAACCCAUAUAUAGUCGAUAUAGCGACUGCACAUAGCAAAAUCAAAUGAGUGGCCCUUCAGAAGUGUCGUCUGUAAGUUCAACAAGCUGGUAAAAUGUAAAUGACUGGAUUAUUUUUUAAUUUCAAGAUUAGAAUCAAGCAGUACAGAAGGUAAAUUUGAUUAUUAAUACUUUCAACUACUUCUCAUUGAAAGUCAAAUCAGCAUUCCAUGCCUAUGUAAGUUGAUAUAUAGAACGCAGUCAGAUUGCAUUCUUAUUGUGAUUCAAAUGCAGGACUUACUAUGAUUCAGACACUGUACUGUGACAGGACACUCAUGUUAAUGCAGAAAUGUAGAUACAUGUAGUAGAUUUACUGGAGAGAAGUAUAAAUGUGUGAACCAUGAGGCAACGUAAUAUGAAGUUAUUCAGUGUAUAAAAUAUCUACUGGGCAUUUAACUGCUGUAUAAUCAAUACGUAUUUUGUUGUGUACAGAUUAUAUGUAUAAGCCAGUAUCAGGUACGUCAGAUCCUUGGCAACCUCCCACCUGGUUCAGCUCGUGACGUGUUUAAUUUUCACUUCCAUUAACGGACUGCCAGGGGAGGUAACUAGAGUCACAGAUUUGGACAACCUCCCAUCCUAUACUACAUCUGACGCUGAUUCAUAUACCUCCUUGUUGGUGAGCGUGACCUCACAUCUGCUGUUGCUAGAUCUACGUCUGUAUGCUGCCAGUGGCCUGUGGUGCCUACAUGACGUACGCCAAGUGUCUGUUCCACACUUCCUCCUUGCUUGGUUCCUUGAAGAAGAGCGACCACUUUUGUGAGAGGGGAAGGGACUUCCGUUUAUGAGACUUUAUCAACAGUCCACUGGCUCACAUGCAAGGUUAUUGUGGUCUCCAGAUUGUCUCUAAGACCGUUGUGCCUCAUUCCGAGUAGAAGACCAUGUUCUCUGAUAUUUACUAGUUACAGACCUACAGCAAGAUAUUAACUAGAUUUCACGCACACUUACAGAUACCAGCAGUUACCUAGUUCUUUCACAUGACAUCUGUCAGCUCAUCAUCUCCUCUCAUCACCGGGUACCACGGAUUGGAGAGCACAUCUUCUAACAAGUCGUCCUCUAUUGAGUCUGGAAGUUGAUCUUCCGAGCAGGCUGACAUCCUGAGCAGGUUGACAUUCCGAGCAGGCUGACAUUCCUUUCGUGUACAUCCGGAACGGAGACUGUGUUGUGAUCGAACAGUUUACCCAACUCACUUAUGUAAUAAUUAUACUGUUGGAUUACUUAUGAGAGUGCGCGAUGUAAUUUAAUGCUAGAUGUUCGUGUAUUAAGUGAUGUAUGACUAUAAACGUGUUUUUUCUAGAGAGAAUUGUUUCAGAAUAUAUUGCUGAAAAAAUUUAUAUGUCAUUUGUUAUGUACUAAGAGUACAUUAAUCGUUUAACUGGAUUAGUUAAUCGUAAAUAUCAAUAUAACAUAGCAUGUGCGAUGAAGUAUGUAAAUUAUUUAUUGUAUAUAUGCUUUCUGUAUUAUCUAA
rnacentral:lncRNA from 1 species